GCGCUGGCGGCGUGCUUAACACAUGCAAGUCGAGGGGCAUCAGGAAGAAAGCUUGCUUUCUUUGCUGGCGACCGGCGCACGGGUGAGUAACACGUAUCCAACCUGCCCUUUACUCGGGGAUAGCCUUUCGAAAGAAAGAUUAAUACCCGAUGGCAUAAUGAUUCCGCAUGGUUUCAUUAUUAAAGGAUUCCGGUAAAGGAUGGGGAUGCGUUCCAUUAGGUUGUUGGUGAGGUAACGGCUCACCAAGCCUUCGAUGGAUAGGGGUUCUGAGAGGAAGGUCCCCCACAUUGGAACUGAGACACGGUCCAAACUCCUACGGGAGGCAGCAGUGAGGAAUAUUGGUCAAUGGGCGCUAGCCUGAACCAGCCAAGUAGCGUGAAGGAUGAAGGCUCUAUGGGUCGUAAACUUCUUUUAUAUAAGAAUAAAGUGCAGUAUGUAUACUGUUUUGUAUGUAUUAUAUGAAUAAGGAUCGGCUAACUCCGUGCCAGCAGCCGCGGUAAUACGGAGGAUCCGAGCGUUAUCCGGAUUUAUUGGGUUUAAAGGGAGCGUAGGUGGACUGGUAAGUCAGUUGUGAAAGUUUGCGGCUCAACCGUAAAAUUGCAGUUGAUACUGUCAGUCUUGAGUACAGUAGAGGUGGGCGGAAUUCGUGGUGUAGCGGUGAAAUGCUUAGAUAUCACGAAGAACUCCGAUUGCGAAGGCAGCUCACUGGACUGCAACUGACACUGAUGCUCGAAAGUGUGGGUAUCAAACAGGAUUAGAUACCCUGGUAGUCCACACAGUAAACGAUGAAUACUCGCUGUUUGCGAUAUACAGUAAGCGGCCAAGCGAAAGCAUUAAGUAUUCCACCUGGGGAGUACGCCGGCAACGGUGAAACUCAAAGGAAUUGACGGGGGCCCGCACAAGCGGAGGAACAUGUGGUUUAAUUCGAUGAUACGCGAGGAACCUUACCCGGGCUUAAAUUGCAGUGGAAUGAUGUGGAAACAUGUCAGUGAGCAAUCACCGCUGUGAAGGUGCUGCAUGGUUGUCGUCAGCUCGUGCCGUGAGGUGUCGGCUUAAGUGCCAUAACGAGCGCAACCCUUAUCUUUAGUUACUAACAGGUUAUGCUGAGGACUCUAGAGAGACUGCCGUCGUAAGAUGUGAGGAAGGUGGGGAUGACGUCAAAUCAGCACGGCCCUUACGUCCGGGGCUACACACGUGUUACAAUGGGGGGUACAGAAGGCAGCUAGCGGGUGACCGUAUGCUAAUCCCAAAAGCCUCUCUCAGUUCGGAUCGAAGUCUGCAACCCGACUUCGUGAAGCUGGAUUCGCUAGUAAUCGCGCAUCAGCCACGGCGCGGUGAAUACGUUCCCGGGCCUUGUACACACCGCCCGUCAAGCCAUGGGAGCCGGGGGUACCUGAAGUACGUAACCGCAAGGAUCGUCCUAGGGUAAAACUGGUGACUGGGGCUAAGUC
rnacentral:rRNA from 1 species